rnacentral:lncRNA from 1 species
GCAGAGUUACGUCCACUUCCUUAAGGAGCGAGUAUCUUUAUAAAUUUUUUGGAAUUCUUCUGUAUGUGAGAUUAGUCUAUUCUCCCUUAAAUUUUAUCAUUUUUUACUUCAGAUAAGAAAAUUUUAAAAAUGAUCUUGGGAAAUUUUUUUCUCUAUCACUAGAAAAAAAAAUUACUAAUUUGAACUGGUUUACUUGAAACAGUAAUUAAUUAGUUAAUUUUCUAUGCUUUAAAACAUUUUAUUUACUUAUUGCAUUAUGUUUUUCUAUACUUUGACCUUUUUUUCUGGUUAUCUCAUAAACCGUAAGGUUGUGGAUGCCAUGAAAUAUUUAUGACUUCAUUUUCCCUCAUUUCUUU